CCUACGGGAGACUGCAGUCGGGAAUAUUGCGCAAUGGAGGAAACUCUGACGCAGUGACGCCGCGUGCAGGAAGAAGGUUUUCGGAUUGUAAACUGCUUUAGACAGGGAAGAAAAAAGACAGUACCUGUAGAAUAAGCUCCGGCUAACUACGUGCCAGCAGCCGCGGUAAUACGUAGGGAGCAAGCGUUAUCCGGAUUUAUUGGGUGUAAAGGGUGCGUAGGCGGCUUUGCAAGUCAGAAGUGAAAUCCAUGGGCUUAACCCAUGAACUGCUUUUGAAACUGCAGAGCUUGAGUGGAGUAGAGGUAGGCGGAAUUCCCGGUGUAGCGGUGAAAUGCGUAGAGAUCGGGAGGAACACCAGUGGCGAAGGCGGCCUGCUGGGCUCUAACUGACGCUGAGGCACGAAAGCGUGGGUAGCAAACAGGAUUAGAUACCCCUGUAGUC
rnacentral:rRNA from 1 species